rnacentral:rRNA from 1 species
GCAGUCGACGCUGAGCUUGGUGCUUGCACUGGGUGGAUGAGUGGCGAACGGGUGAGUAAUACGUGAGUAACCUGCCCUUGACUCUGGGAUAAGCCUGGGAAACUGGGUCUAAUACUGGAUACGACAUGUCACCGCAUGGUGGUGUGUGGAAAGGGUUUUACUGGUUUUGGAUGGGCUCACGGCCUAUCAGCUUGUUGGUGGGGUAAUGGCUCACCAAGGCGACGACGGGUAGCCGGCCUGAGAGGGUGACCGGCCACACUGGGACUGAGACACGGCCCAGACUCCUACGGGAGGCAGCAGUGGGGAAUAUUGCACAAUGGGCGNAAGCCUGAUGCAGCGACGCCGCGUGAGGGAUGACGGCCUUCGGGUUGUAAACCUCUUUCAGCACGGAAGAAGCGAAAGUGACGGUACGUGCAGAAGAAGCGCCGGCUAACUACGUGCCAGCAGCCGCGGUAAUACGUAGGGCGCAAGCGUUGUCCGGAAUUAUUGGGCGUAAAGAGCUCGUAGGCGGUUUGUCGCGUCUGCUGUGAAAGCCCGGGGCUUAACCCCGGGUGUGCAGNGGGUACGGGCAGACUUGAGUGCAGUANGGNAGACUGGAAUUCCUGGUGUAGCGGUGAAAUGCGCANAUAUCAGGAGGAACNCCGAUGGCGAAGGGGGGUCUCUGGGCUGUUACUGACGCU